UUUCCUGUGGCUCAGUUGGUAGCGUAUUGCUCUAACAAUGCAAAGGUUGUGAAAGGUUCAAAUCCCAGGGAAA